rnacentral:lncRNA from 1 species
AAGAAGGUAACUAGAACCACUAGGUGGGAAUCCGUUUUAUUCAGACUCUCUCUAUUUUCACUGUAUUUUCUUCACCUUAGAUCUAAGUUUCACUUCAUCGUUUCCUACUUUGCCAUAACCAUGAUGGUUUACCAAGCCAUGCUGUUCCUACAAUGUUGGCUGUUUUGUAGCUACUUUGCAUGCUUUCUUGCUCCAUUUGAUGUAUCAACAACAAGGUUGGUCAGGGC